AGACCCGAAACCCGGUGAUCUAGCCAUGGGCAGGUUGAAGGUUGGGUAACACUAACUGGAGGACCGAACCGACUAAUGUUGAAAAAUUAGCGGAUGACCUGUGGCUGGGGGUGAAAGGCCAAUCAAACCGGGAGAUAGCUGGUUCUCCCCGAAAGCUAUUUAGGUAGCGCCUCGUGAAUUCAUCUCCGGGGGUAGAGCACUGUUUCGGCUAGGGGGCCAUCCCGGCUUACCAACCCGAUGCAAACUGCGAAUACCGGAGAAUGUUAUCACGGGAGACACACGGCGGGUGCUAACGUCCGUCGUGAAGAGGGAAACAACCCAGACCGCCAGCUAAGGUCCCAAAGUCAUGGUUAAGUGGGAAACGAUGUGGGAAGGCCCAGACAGCCAGGAUGUUGGCUUAGAAGCAGCCAUCAUUUAAAGAAAGCGUAAUAGCUCACUGGUCGAGUCGGCCUGCGCGGAAGAUGUAACGGGGCUAAACCAUGCACCGAAGCUGCGGCAGCGAACGUAUCACCCAAGACAACUUUACGGAGUUGACGAUUGACGGAGCGAAGCGACGUCAAAGCGUUCAUUAAAGUCGAGUUGGCUUAGGGAUACGUUCGUUGGGUAGGGGAGCGUUCUGUAAGCCUGUGAAGGUGUGUCGUGAGGCAUGCUGGAGGUAUCAGAAGUGCGAAUGCUGACAUAAGUAACGAUAAAGCGGGUGAAAAGCCCGCUCGCCGGAAGACCAAGGGUUCCUGUCCAA
rnacentral:rRNA from 1 species